AGGGCGCAAGCUUUAUCCGGAAUUAUUGGGCGUAAAGAGUUCGAAGGCGGUUUGUCGCGUCUGCUUUGAAAGACCGGGCCUCAACUCCGGUUCUGCAUUGGGUACGGGCAAACAUAAAGUGAUGUAGGGAAGACUGGAUUUCCUGGUGUAGCGGUGAAAUGCGCAAAUAUCAGGAGGAACACCGAUGGCAAAGGCGGGUCUCUGGGCAUUAACUGACCCUGAGGAGCGAAACCAUGGGGAGCGAACAGGAUUAGAUACCCUGGU
rnacentral:rRNA from 1 species